rnacentral:rRNA from 1 species
UCUCAGCCGUAAACGAUGGACACUAGGUGUGGGCCAUAAGGUCCGUGCCGUAGUUAACGCGUUAAGUGUCCCGCCUGGGGAGUACGCCCGCAAGGGUGAAACUCAAAGGAAUUGACGGGGACCCGCACAAGCGGUGGAGGAUGUGGUUCAAUUCGAGGCAACGCGAAGAACCUUACCUGGGCUUGACAUGUAGGUAGUAGAAACCUGAAAGGGUGACCACCGGUAACCAGUCC